rnacentral:rRNA from 1 species
ACGUUCGGUACAUCGGUGACAGGUGGUGCAUGGUUGUCGUCAGCUCGUGUCGUGAGAUGUUGGGUUAAGUCCCGCAACGAGCGCAACCCCUAUUGUUAGUUGCCAUCAUUCAGUUGGGCACUCUAGCGAGACUGCCGGUAAUAAACCGGAGGAAGUGGGGAUGACGUCAAAUCAUCAUGCCCCUUAUGACCUGGGCUACACACGUGCUACAAUGGGCGGUACAAAGGGCUGCGAACCCGCGAGGGGGAGCGAAUCCCAAAAAGCCGCUCUCAGUUCGGAUUGCAGGCUGCAACUCGCCUGCAUGAAGCCGGAAUCGCUAGUAAUCGCGGAUCAGCAUGCCGCGGUCGAAUACGUUCCCGGGCCUU